AGCGAACGCUGGCGGCAGGCCUAACACAUGCAAGUCGAACGAAGUCUUCGGACUUAGUGGCGGACGGGUGAGUAACACGUGGGAACAUGCCUUUAGGUUCGGAAUAACUCAGGGAAACUUGUGCUAAUACCGAAUGUUCCCUUCGGGGGAAAGAUUUAUCGCCUUUAGAGCGGCCCGCGUCUGAUUAGCUAGUUGGUGAGGUAAAGGCUCACCAAGGCUACGAUCAGUAGCUAGUCUGAGAGGAUGACCAGCCACAUUGGGACUGAGACACGGCCCAAACUCCUACGGGAGGCAGCAGUGGGGAAUCUUGCGCAAUGGGCGAAAGCCUGACGCAGCCAUGCCGCGUGGAUGAUGAAGGUCUUAGGAUUGUAAAAUCCUUUCACCGGUGAAGAUAAUGACUGUAGCCGGAGAAGAAGCCCCGGCUAACUUCGUGCCAGCCGCCGCAGUAAAAC
rnacentral:rRNA from 1 species